AGAGUUUGAUCCUGGCUCAGGAUGAACGCUGGCGGUAUGCCUAACACAUGCAAGUCGUACGAGAGUUUUUAACUCUAGUGGCGGACGGGUGAGUAACACGUGAGAAUUUGCCUUUAGGAGGGGGAUAACAAUUGGAAACGAAUGCUAAUACCCCAUAUGCUUUCGAGUGAAAUGAAUUUUUUAUUUGCCUAAAGAGAAGCUCGCGGCUGAUUAGCUUGUUGGUAAGGUAAGAGCUUACCAAGGCGACGAUCAGUAUCUGGUUUGAGAGGACGAUCAGACACACUGGAACUGAGACACGGUCCAGACUCCUACGGGAGGCAGCAGUGGGGAAUUUUCCGCAAUGGGCGAAAGCCUGACGGAGCAAUACCGCGUGAGGGAAGAAUGCCUAUGGGUUGUAAACCUCUUUUUUCAGGGAGGAAUAAAUGACGUGUACCUGAAGAAUAAGCAUCGGCUAACUCCGUGCCAGCAGCCGCGGUAAGACGGAGGAUGCAAGUGUUAUCCGGAAUCACUGGGCGUAAAGCGUCUGUAGGUGGCUUAAUAAGUCAACUGCUAAAUCUUGAGGCUCAACUUCAAAAUCGCAGCUGAAACUAUUAGACUAGAGUAUAGUAGAGGUAAAGGGAAUUUCCAGUGUAGCGGUGAAAUGCGUAGA
rnacentral:rRNA from 1 species